GUGAGUGGAAAGAAAUGCAUGAGAAUUUCCUCUCAACUGGAAUUCCAUCACCUCCACUAGCUUUGUUCAUAGUGAUGCGUCCUAAGGCCCACUUGACUUCACACUCCAAGACGUCUGGCUCUAGUUACUUUUUGCAUGUUUGUAUAUGGAUGUGAGAGUUGGACUGUGAAGAAGGCUGAGCGCCGAAGAAUUGAUGCUUUUGAACUGUGGUGUUGGAGAAGACUCAGUCCAAGGUACUGAAAGGAGAUCCAACCAGUCCAUUCUGAAGGAGAUCGAUGCACGUACAUCAGUUCAGUUCAGUCACUCAGUCGUGUCUGACACUUUGUGACCCCAUGAAUCACAGCACGCCAGGCCUCCCUGUCCAUCACCAACUCCUGGAGUUCACUGAGACUCAUCCAUCCAGUCCAGCGCUUCUCAUGAUGUACUCGGCAUAUAAGUUAAAUAAGCAGGGUGAUAAUAUACAGCCUUGACGUACUCCUUUUCCUAUUUGGAACCCGUCUGUUGUUCCAUGUCCAGAUAUAACUGUUGCUUCCUGACCUGCAUACAGAUUUCUCAAGAGGCAGGUCAGGUGGUCUGGUAUUCCCAUCUCUUUCAGAAUUUUCCACAGUUUAUUGCGAUCCACACAGUCAAAGGCUUUGGCAUAGUCAAUGAAGCAGAAAUAGAUGUUUUUCUGGAACUCUCUUGCUUUUUUGAUGAUCCAGCGGAUAUUGGCAAUUUGAUCUCUGUUUCCUCUGCCUUUUCUAAAACCAGCUUGAACAUCAGGAAUUGCAGGGUUCACAUAUUGCUGAAGCCUGGCUUGGAGAAUUUUGAGCAUUACUUUACUAUCAUGUGAGAUGAGUACAAUUGUGCGGUAGUUUGAGCAUUCUUUGGCAUUGCCUUUCUUUGGGAUUGGAAUGAAAACUGACCUUUUCCGGUCCUGUGGCCACUGCUGAGUUUUCCAAAUUUGCUGGCAUAUUGAGUGCAGCACUUUCACAGGAUCAUCUUUCAGGAUUUGAAAUAGUUCAACUGGAAUUUCAUCACUUCCACUAGCUUUGUUCAUAGUGAUGCUUUCUAAGGCCCACUUGACUUCAUAUUCCAGGAUGUCUGGCUCUAGGUCAGUGAUCACACCAUCAUGGUUAUCUGGGUUGUGGAGAUCUUUUUUGUACAGUUCUUCUGUGUAUUCUUGCCAUCUCUUCUUAAUAUCAUCUGCUUCUGUUAGGUCCAUACCAUUUCUGUCCUUUGUCGAGCCCAUCUUUGCAUGAAAUGUUCCCUUGGUAUCUCUAAUUUUCUUGAAGAGAUCUCUAGUCUUUCUCAUUCUGUUGUUUUCCUCUAUUUCUUUGCAUUGAUCGCUGAGGAAGGCUUUCUUAUCUCUUCUUGCUAUUCUUUGGAACUCUGCAUUCAGAUGCUUAUAUCUUUCCUUUUCUCCUUUGCUUUUCACUUCUCUUCUUUUCACAGCUAUUUGUAAGGCCUCCCCAGACAGCCAUUUUGCUUUUUUGCAUUUCUUUUCCAUGGGGAUGGUCUUGAUCCGUCUCCUGUACAAUGUCACGAACCUCAUUCCAUAGUUCAUCAGGCACUCUAUCUAUCAGAUCUAGGCCCUUAAAUCUAUUUCUCACUUCCCCUGUAUAAUCAUAAGGGAUUUAAUUUAGGUCAUACCUGAAUGGUCUAGUGGUUUUCCCUAUUUUCUUCAAUUUAAGUCUGAAUUUGGCAAUAAGGAGUUCAUGAUCUGAGCCACAGUCAGCUCCUGGUCUUGUUUUUGUUGACUGUAUAGAGCUUCUCCAUCUUUGGCUGCAAAGAACAUAAUCAAUCUGAUUUCGGUGUUGACCAUCUGGUGAUGUCCAUGUGUAGAGUCUUCUCUUCUGUUGUUGGAAGUGGGUGUUUGCUAUGACCAGUGCAUUUUCUCGGCAAAACUCUAUUAGCCUUUGCCCUGCUUCAUUCUGUACUCCAAGGCCAAAUUUGUCUGUUACUCCAGGUGUUUCUUGACUUCCUACUUUUGCAUUCCAGUCCCCUAUAAUGAAAAGGACAUCUUUUUUGGGUGUUCUAAAAGGUCUUGUAGGUCUUCAUAGAACCAUUCAACUUCAGCUUCUUCAGCGUUACUGGUUGGGGCAUAGACUUGGAUUACUGUGAUAUUGAGUAUAAUUGUUUUUUGUGAAUUGAAUAAUUGAUUAACGUGCAAUAGUUCUCUUAAUCCCUGAUAAUUUUCUGUGUUCCAAAGUCUUUGUCUGAUAUUAAUACAGCCACUUUAGCUCUCUUCAUGUUAACC
ensembl:lncRNA